AGAGUUUGAUCCUGGCUCAGGACGAACGCUGGCGGCGUGCCUAAUACAUGCAAGUCGAGCGAAUCUUUGGGAGCUUGCUCCUGAAGGUUAGCGGCGGACGGGUGAGUAACACGUGGGCAACCUGCCUGUAAGACUGGGAUAACUUCGGGAAACCGGAGCUAAUACCGGAUAAUCCUUUCCUCUACAUGAGGGAGAGCUGA
rnacentral:rRNA from 1 species